rnacentral:lncRNA from 1 species
CGAGUUUCUAUUGGCUAAGUGCAGCCAUAGCAAAUUAUAAUUUUGCUCAGUGGAUUUUGCUUUAAGAAGAUUAAAGGGCACCCAGGCCUUCCCCCAUGGGAAGGAGGUCCCAGGGUCACCUCAAGCUUAAGGCCGGCCCCGGGAGUCAAAGUUGUUGCAGCUAAGGGUGAGGUGGGCUCCUGGGAAGAGGCAGUUGUGCGGUCGUGGCUGUCGCAUCACAGCCUUAACUUAACAGCGUGUUCCAGAAGCUGUCCUAGCUGGGGGUGAGCCUGCGUGGACCAGGAAUUGCAUCCCACGUGAGAACCUCCUCAGCCGUCGAGUCACAAGUUUUUGUCCACAGAGCUGCGUACUUUUAUGACCUGGAUGUAUGUAUCACCUACUAAAAUAGAAUAUCCACAUCUGCAUUCACAUCCACAUCUACUGCUGCAACGACAUCUGCAUCUGCAUCUGCAUCUAUGACGGCAUCCACAUCUGCAUCUGCAUCUCCAUCUACAACUGCAUCCACAUCUGCAUCUGCAUCUCCAUCUAUAACUGCAUCCACAUCUGCAUCGCAUCUUCAUCUAUAACUGCAUCCACAUCUGCAUCUGCAUCUCCAUCUACAACUGCAUCCACAUCUGCAUCUGCAUCUAUAACUGCAUCCACAUCUGCAUCUGCAUCUCCAGCUACAACUGCAUCCACAUCUGCAUCUGCAUCUCCAUCUACAACUGCAUCCACAUCUGCAUCUCCAUCUGCAUCUAUAACUGCAUCCACAUCUGCAUCUGCAUCUAUAACUGCAUCCACAUCUGCAUCUGCAUCUCCAGCUACAACUGCAUCCACAUCUGCAUCUGCAUCUCCAUCUACAACUGCAUCCACAUCUGCAUCUCCAUCUGCAUCUAUAACUGCAUCCACAUCUGCAUCUGCAUCUCCAUCUACAACUGCAUCCACAUCUGCAUCUGCAUCUCCAUCUGCAACUGCAUCCACAUCUGCAUCUGCAUCUCCAUCUACAACUGCAUCCACGUCUGCAUCUGCAUCUCCAUCUACAACUGCAUCCACAUCUGCAUCUGCAUCUCCAUCUCCAUCU